rnacentral:lncRNA from 1 species
AGUUUGUUUACCUUUCUGCGUUUGUGAUUAUGGGUCUUUGGUUGAGACCCUCCCACUCCAGUUUCAUGCUCUUAUUUCAUUAUCAUAUUUCUAAUAUUCAUAGGACUGCAGACAUGGUGUACAACCUCUGUCUCUCCGUUCCUUUGGAAUAUUGAGGAGUCUUUGGAACUCGCGUUUACUUCUGAAGUUCUGGCAUGUGUAGCUAGCAAACCUUCACGUGGGCUUGAUCAUCUUCUGUUGUUGUUGGAUGAGCCAUACUCAUAGCCAAUGUCAUCGCCGAUCGCAUCAUUUCGCAUGUCAUGACGGCGGUGCAGAUAAUCCCAAGCUGAUAAAAAUCAACCAGUCAAAGUUAGUUCUCUUGGUUGGGGAGUUAGUUGGGUGGUAACGAAGCAGUGGACCAGGCAAUCAAUUGAGCACACCAUUGAGACAUGGAUCGACCUCCACUGAUUGACGGAGCUGUGCUGACUUAGAUUGACACCAUUGAUGAUAAAGUGAUGGCAGAUCUACCAGCUCACUUCACAUCAGAGAGCUCU